rnacentral:rRNA from 1 species
GGAAUAUUGGACAAUGGCCGAGAGGCUGAUCCAGCCAUGCCGCGUGCGGGAGGACGGCCCUAUGGGUUGUAAACCGCUUUUGUUGGAGAGCAAUAAGGUCCACGUGUGGAUCGAUGAGAGUAUCCAGCGAAUAAGCAUCGGCUAACUCCGUGCCAGCAGCCGCGGUAAUACGGAGGAUGCAAGCGUUAUCCGGAUUUAUUGGGUUUAAAGGGUGCGUAGGCGGAUGAUUAAGCGUGAGGUGAAAUGCCACUGCUCAACAGUGGAACUGCCUCGCGAACUGGUUGUCUGGAAUGCCCCUGCCGUGGGAGGAAUGUGUGGUGUAGCGGUGAAAUGCAUAGAGAUCACACAGAACACCGAUUGCGAAGGCAUCUCACGAAGGGGUGAUUGACGCUGAGGCACGAAAGCGUGGGGAUCAAACA